GAUUUCAACUGAAAAAGUCAUCAAUAGCAAAGUGGUAUAACUCAUCAAGAUCUAUAACUUUUAUUUGGGCCAAUCAUUCAUCUGACAAAGUGAUUUGUAACAUUGUUCACAAAAUGUCCAUCUCUUACAUAGGUUUAUAAACUACAAGAAAGAUAUGUAAAUUUUGUGAAAAUGUUACUAUCACUUUGUCAGGUGAAGAAAUAACCAAAAUAGAAGUUAUAGAUCUUGAUGAGUUAUACAACUUUGUUGUUUAUGACUUUUUCAGCUGAAAUC
rnacentral:pre_miRNA from 1 species